rnacentral:rRNA from 1 species
AACGAACGCUGGCGGCAGGCUUAACACAUGCAAGUCGAGCGCCCCGCAAGGGGAGCGGCAGACGGGUGAGUAACGCGUGGGAACGUACCUUUUGGUUCGGAACAACUCCGGGAAACUGGAGCUAAUACCGGAUAAGCCCUAACGGGGAAAGAUUUAUCGCCGAAAGAUCGGCCCGCGUCUGAUUAGCUAGUUGGUGAGGUAACGGCUCACCAAGGCGACGAUCAGUAGCUGGUCUGAGAGGAUGAUCAGCCACACUGGGACUGAGACACGGCCCAGACUCCUACGGGAGGAAGCAGUGGGGAAUAUUGGACAAUGGGCGCAAGCCUGAUCCAGCCAUGCCGCGUGAGUGAUGAAGGCCUUAGGGUUGUAAAGCUCUUUUGUCCGGGAAGAUAAUGACUGUACCGGAAGAAUAAGCCCCGGCUAACUUCGUG